CUUUGCGAGAGGAGAGGUUCAUUCACUAGCGGGGCCACCGCACCAACAACACAAGUCUUCAGCAGACGGCUCGACACAGUUCACAGUUCACAUCGCGCCCGCCUGCCAGCCAGCCACAGCCAGCCAACAGACCGAAUCGCGAACGCCUACCCUUCUUUCUUUCCUCGCGACAUUUUUGGGCGACCGUGCAAAAAGAGCACCCAGUGAUUGUAUGCAACAUUCCUCGUGAUUCGCUUGAAAGGGCCAGACACGCGCUUUGCCUAGCCUACAGCAGACGGAUUUAUUCAUCAUACAACGUGGGCUGAGGAUCACUUACCUUCGUAGUUUCCCCGAUUACGCACUCAGUUACUAUAAGGACAGUCGACCGAGGUGUGCUCUUUUGAUUCGAUCUGGACAAAUCUACAGUAGUGUUCAGCAGGUGUAGCUCUCACAUCGGUUAACAUUACGUAACAACCAACAGCAACGACUACAACGACUGCUGUCAUCAGCAAACUCGCUCGGUAUCGUCAUCACAACGCUCAGCACCAAUAGCAUCGUCAGCAUCAGCUGCAGCAGCAGUAUAUUAGCAGCAAAAAUCACUGACCGACCGUCUCGACGUAAGUCUUGUUCUGUUUCUAAUACCAAGGAGAACUUUCCGAAGGACCGAAAGAAUUAUUUGUUUUACCAGAUCUGCUAAUUGCAAAUCCCCAACAACAACUGCAACGAUAUACGUCAGUGGAAACGCAUUGAAUCCUCAAUAGCGGCAUCAUCACUUGAGCAAUAACAACAACAACAACAACAACAACAACAACAACAACAGUAACAGUAACAACCGACAGUGAAUAAAAUACCUUCACCCACAACUACUUCCAAGAUGACCGUGUGCAACAAACAGGAGAAGGACUUGGCCUACAAGAGCCUCAACCACAAGAAGAGCAACGUCAAGUGUGUGGUGGUGGGGGACGCCAUGGUGGGGAAGACCAGUCUGGCCA